GGGUGCGAUCAUACUGACACUAAUGCACCAGAUCCCAUCAAAACACCGUAGUAAAGCGUGCUUAGGUGAGAGAAGUACUAGGAUGGGUAACAACAACAUAGAUCUCGAAAGCCGAUUUUU
rnacentral:rRNA from 1 species